rnacentral:rRNA from 1 species
GAUGAACGCUGGCGGCGUGCCUAAUACAUGCAAGUCGAGCGAACAGACGAGGAGCUUGCUCCUCUGACGUUAGCGGCGGACGGGUGAGUAACACGUGGAUAACCUACCUAUAAGACUGGGAUAACUUCGGGAAACCGGAGCUAAUACCGGAUAAUAUAUUGAACCGCAUGGUUCAAUAGUGAAAGACGGUUUUGCUGUCACUUAUAGAUGGAUCCGCGCCGCAUUAGCUAGUUGGUAAGGUAACGGCUUACCAAGGCAACGAUGCGUAGCCGACCUGAGAGGGGAUUGGCCACACCUGGACUUGGACCCGGGCCAGACUCCCAAGGGAGGGAAGCAGUGGGAAACUUCCGGAAAGGGGCGAAGCCCUGACGGAGCACCGCGGGGUGGGGAAGGAAGGUCUCCGAUCGGUAAACCUCUGUAUUAAGGAAGAAAAAAUGGGGUAAGUAACAUGCACGGCUUGGACGGAACUAAUCAAGAAGGCACGGCUAAAUACCGU